AAGGAUUUAAGUUAAUAAAACUAUUAGCCUUCAAAGCUAAAAAUAAACUAAGUUUAAGCCUUA
rnacentral:tRNA from 1 species